rnacentral:lncRNA from 1 species
UUGUUGGUACUUAUAUCUAGAUGAUUAUCUUCUUGACAUCCUGAAUUGAAAUCUUUUCUUCGUAUAUGCAUUUUGUGUGUGCUUUUCUACUCGAUAUAUGUGUUCCCUAUAGUUGAUAUCCAGCUAAUCCACUGGUAAGAUGCUUGGCAUUGAAGGUAAGAUUGGUAACCGAAUCUUCAUGAUGAUUUGGAAUGUUCCCAGAAUCUCAAACAUGCAACCACUUCUGGCAACCAAGGUGAGUGGGUUAAUUAAAAUCCCGCAUCCCCUGCAAGGAUAGGGGUUUUGGCUCCAUAUACCUUGAGUGCCACUUUGGAAACAGAAGGUGAAAGCAGAAGUGUCAUGUCAAGUGAAAGCAGCACAUAGAAGAAAAAUUUGUGUCAGAUGUGGAAAAUGGAAAUGUUUAGGAAUACAUUAAGGAAAUUUGUGUGGAAUGUAUGAAAGCCAUCCUGAAAUCACUAUAUCCAAAUCUGGAGUGGCUGCCUGAAGAAAUUGGAGCUCUCAGAAACAACUAGGGUGAUGAUGUGCUUAAGAAGCAAUUGCUGGAAUGAGAAUCUGAAGUGACAUGCGCACUGGAUAAGUAACUGCAAUUAAUAUGAAUUUUUUGUGUGUGAUACAUGUAUCCCUCUGGUUUUAUGGCCCUUCACAUAUGAUUCACAUUACUGGAGAAAGCAACUUGAAUUUUUUUGCCUAAAGGAUAUACCCAAGUAUUGCUUAAUUCUGGGAUGCCAUGUUUCCCAAUUCCUCCGACAUAGUUAAACCAAAGUUUGAUCUAGUACAUAGACGCUUCCUGUUUCCUACGUGUCUAUUGUCAUAAUCCUGUGUUAGCGGCAAUUCCUUCUCAUUGCAAAUCUGUUCCUGUAUCUUGUCUCAUUUUAGGUAACAUACGCCAAUUUGUGAACCCUGUUUUUUGCUUUGGGCAUUCAGUUGAAGUCCCUUUUCAGAAGUUGCAGCACUCUGGAAGUAGAAGAAUUGGGAUAUGAAUCUGAUCUUUCUAUUAAUUUAUUUUUGUUGAUAAUCUGAAUAAGGAGCAUGGAAGUUAUGCUAUUUGUUUAGCCUGCUAUUGAAAAUUCAGUGGAGACCAAAUAGGAAUUAAAUCGCAAACUAUUUUCUGAUCCAGGUUGCAUUCAUCUAGAAUUUUGAUGCAGUGAUGGUAAUAUGAA